AUGGUCUCAUUGCUAAGGUUGGUUUUGAACUAGUUUUAAUUUGAUUUUCACUUGCUCUCAUCAUUUUUUUUGUAUGCAAUAACUGGCCUUCUCCUUUGUACCUGUAGAGUGCAACUGCUUUUGAUUCUCCAUUUGGCAUGUUCUGCUACAAACCUUUUGGCUUGAAGGUGGAUUGGUGUUUGGUUGUGAAGACUUCUCCGAGUUACAUGACUGUAUGUUUUUGUCCUCUUCAUUUUGCUACUUCUUCCUCGCAUGAUUCUAGGAUGUUUGCUCAUUCAUUGAUUUUUAGGUUCAGGGGUCUAGCGUCUACGGUUCACAUUCAGGUAUAAGAACAAAGGAUCAGUGCAGAAAGGCAGAAACUAUGAAUUUGAUCAGAAGGUAUGAUAAACUAGAAUGUU
rnacentral:lncRNA from 1 species